GUGGGUAUAGCUCAGUGGUAGAGCAUACGCUUGGCGUACAUGAGAUCCUGGGUUCAAUCCCCAUUGCCUCCA
rnacentral:tRNA from 1 species